rnacentral:lncRNA from 1 species
GCCGUCAGCUGGACUGGAAAAUUCGUUCGUUUCGUUCCAGCAAUCGCGGGUCUAAAAUUUUUUAACAGUUGUACCGAAAUACACUACCAAAGAAUGAUACUACAAAAGUUCUCCACAUUUCGUCCAGCAGUUUUUUGAUAAUUUGACUCGAAAAAGCGAACUAUUUGUCCAUUGUGGACGUUCAAAAACGUACCGCGCCUACGUUAAAAAAAUCCGCCGCGUAUGACGCAUCGUACCACGUGACGUGAACUGUCCAAUUAGACACCAGAUAUGAGGUCGCAGGUCAUGACAUUUAACAAACAUGGCGGCGUCCAUUGGCAAAUGUGCGUCAACGUAAACAUCGACCCGUGCAAAAAAGAAGUGUUUGCACUCAUAAUCUGUCACGUUUGAGGGGGAAAAUGCGAAGGAUCUGAUGUCCGGUGAUAGUAAGUUCAUUUCCUGUGCCAAAGAGUGGCUGAAUUUCACAAUGACACCGCCGAAUAUACCCACGAUGUGUGGGGAGUGGAUCUGCUUUGUCCGUAUCGUACUGUACAGUACAUCAUGCACUACCGGCGCAUGUAAACAAGGCAGUCCGGCCGGCCGAUCUCACCCGUGGCGGUUUUUAUAGAUAGUAAACGUCUCGGUGCUGCAAGAAAAGGCAAACCAUACACUUCAGCUGAGACCCAGAUUUCUUCACCGAAAAAGCUCCGGACAAAGUUCAAGUUUCUUUUAAUUGCCUAUCUACAUAACUGUGUCAUGCUGCACACAAACUCAACCAGGAUUUUGAUUUCGAUGAAAACCUCAAUUCAAGGACAAGCUGCAACAGUACAACAAGCAGAACUUCCGUUGGAGGCCUAAGGGAUGAACGUCAGGAAAAGGGAGAUGUUCUGCGACUGACUGUUCAACCCCGAUCAACAACUUAGUUUCAUGAGAAUGUCCCAGCUUGCUGAACUGUUGGAAUUCUUGAAAUGAUUUAGAAGCCGAAGGAACUGGCCUUGGAUCUCUUUAUAUCGAACUAAUAAGUUGACAUAUCGGCU